UGAAUGACCCAUUUACCUUUAUUUUUCUUUACAUUUUUUAAUGUUCAUUGAGUUUUUUUUAUAUUAUAAAAAAAUAAGGAGAUAAGAGGUAAAUAUUAAUUAAAAAAAGAAAUUAUUUGCAGAGCAAUGAAGGACCCCGCAAAGAAAUAAAAAUGUGCUUGCUGCUUGCAGAAAAUUCUUAGUCUCAGACGAGCAUUAACUUCUCAGUGCCUUCCUCGGACCACUGGCUCCCAAAUCCCAACUACUAUAAAAUAAUAUACAUUCAAGAGAACACUAAUUUAUCAUCCAUUCAUCCUUUCCAUCUUCAAUUAAUACUCGUCUAUUGAUAUUAAUUUCCUCUUCCUUUAUUUUUGGCAUAACGAAAAUGGGAUUGGGCUCUAAGAUUUUCCUUCUUUUAGGUCUUGUAAUCACUAUUGUUGUUCUUCUUACUUCUACGAAGGCGGCAGCUGCUAGAAACCUGGCUGAGGCUUCCACUGCAACGCGAAAAGGUUAGCGUCUUGGUUUCUGCAUUAAUUUGGGUCAUCUUAUAUAUAACAUAACAAUCAAAUUAAUUGCUAGUCCACCCCCUAAUCCAUUUCUCCCCACUUCAAAACUGUUUUCGUAGCCCAAACCAAGACAUCUCUUCUGCAUUUACUUAGGCUUCAGCUUUGUUUCACAAAGAAAUAAAAUAUGAGGCCUAUAUGAUUGGAGAAUUCUCUUGGCUUCACGGAACGUCGGGUCAUUUCCCAAGCCCCUGACGUUCCAGCUUAUGAUUUUCAUGGUUGUCGGCGGGGCUGAUAAUUAGCCUCCGCCGAUAUUUCUUCUACAUUUUCCACUGCCAUAUCAUUACUUCCAGCAUCUUGCUCUUCUUCUACCUCCCACCGGAGCAUCUGUUUUGCUUUUGGUGAGACAAUGGGUAACACAAGUGUCGGGCUACCUAUUUUUUUUUUUUUUUUUUCUCUGGGCUUGCCCAAUUCACCUCGCUGGCCAACCUCUUCAUAGAUGUAGGCACUUUUUUUAUCUCCACCACCUGCUCUCUACCCCUUGCUUGUAUCUUCAUUUUUUUCUUGGGCUUGAGGUUAUUUGCUACCAAUCUAUUUUUCCUCCCCACCUCUUCUAAUGUGGUUUGGGCUGUAUUAUCAGUUUGGCCCAAUUGGAGAAUUAUAUCUUGGGGAUUGCUUUGACCAACUCCAACUUCCCGCUCUUUUUCCCCCACCUGAUUUUUCCCAUUUUCCACUCCGAGUUUGGCAUUUAUUUUCUGAGACUCCCUCCAAAUUUCUCCUUCAUUUUGUUUUCCCGCUCUUAGGUCCUGUUCCCUAGAUGUCUGGACUUCCUUAGCUGUCUCCUUCUGAUGUUUGGAACUGCUUUCUUCAUACUUUGGCCUGUCACCAUCAGUCAUUAAUUGCUUCUCUGUACUCCCUGAUAAUCGGGCAAGACCCAUUUUCUUGACCCGCUUGAGCUCCAGUAACUUGCCUUCCCGUGUUUGUGGAAUUUUGGUUUUCUGGCUGUGUUUGGGAUUUAGGGCUUUGGUUUACAGCUGAAUUUUCUUUGCUUCUUCUUCUAAUUUGGUUUAACUUUUCUACCAUAGUCGGUGCUUUAAGCCAAGGGUCGUAAGAUAAAUCUUCCUUUGGUUGCUUCUCAUACCUUGUACACUCUCUGUAUUGAUGUCCAAUGCACCCACAACGGUAACAAAAGUCUGGCAGCCUUUCGUAUCUGAUCAACACUGGAAUAUCUUCUUCCUCAGUCAUAUCCUCUUGUCUAAUCUCCAGAAUCUUCAUUAGAGGCUUUGUGAUAUCGAUUGAUAUUCUAAGUCUGAUUACUUCCUCCAUACAAUCCCCAUUUGCAUCUGUUUCCACCUCCUCAACUUUACCGAUAGCUUCACCAAGUUCUAAAAUUGUCUCUCUGUCCAUACACAUAAUGGGCACGUUUUGAAGUUGUACCCAAAAUGAUACAUGGGUGAAUGACUGCUUUGCCAAAUAGCAAAGUGCCAUGGCCCUCCUGUUAUUGGCUUCUAUUUUUUUGUCCCAAAUUUAAACAUGAACACAUUAUCUCCCAGGCUUUCCACCUUCACUUCCCUUUUGUUUUGCCACGCCUGUUGUAAUGUUAUUUUGAGCCCUUCCUUGUUUACACUUUUGUUUGUCAAAACCUUCCCAACUAAAUAGCCAGCUACAAUCUGCUCCCCUUUAGAUUUCAUUUUGCUUUUAAAAGUGGCUUUGCCUUCCUCUACCCCUGAUAACUUGAUAGUUGUGCAUCUUCGUAUCAGCUCUUCUGUCUCCAUGGUCUUGUUACAAACACCUUAAAUGCACUAGUAAUAACUUCCACACCAACUUUGUUACAAAAGCACCCGACUAAAUGCUCUCAAAAACUACAACCAAGAAUAGAAAAAGUUGGGUCUGGAAGUAACUAAUCCAAAACAAUUUACUGAAACCCAACACGUGGGUAAGAAUAAAGGGUCCUCAUAACCCUAUCUAAAGCUUCCAUUCUAAGUUUUUCAGAGAAAAACCCAAGAAGGAAGAAAUUUGGUCUCUGAGAAUUUGAGCAAUCUAUGUCACUGCAAGUCAUUACUAAUAAAAAAAAUGAUUGAUUUUUAUUUUUUUCCACUAAACUAGGGAUAUUUAUUCAUUACCCCUGGCAUCUUAUGUUUUAUGUUUUCCUUUUAAUAGAAUUUUCUCAUUGCAUUUAGGUUUAUUUUUUUAAAAAAAAAAAGAUCUGACAUGUUGCUACACAUAUACGUGCAGCCGAGGCAACCGCAGAAGCAUUGAAGAUGCCUAAGAAAGCUCGUUCAGUUAGUAUGAUUUUUCCCGCGCCGUGCUACGGUGUUGGUUGCCCUUGAGUAAAUGUUGCUGCAAAGACAAAAUUGAUUCACCAUACACGUGUGUGUAUUCAAAUAAAUGGUUCUUAAAUUUAUGUGUUGUAAGAGAUUCUAUCUGAUGCAUGCUUCAUAUGAAUAAUGUUUAAAUAUGUUGUAGGAGGUUUAAUUUGUUAGGAAAGGACUACCACAAGCAGUUGCAAAUUAAGUGGAAACAAAGUAUUUCUCUCUUUGUAUAAUUAAAAUAGGAUGUGUACCACAAAUAAAUAGGAAGAAAAAUAAACCAAUAAAUUCAAAACAAAAACCAACCACGAGAGAUAUUUUUUCGUGGAAAAUUCAAGGCGAAAAAAAUCACGAG
rnacentral:lncRNA from 1 species